rfam:Salmo salar isolate Sally breed double haploid chromosome ssa28, whole genome shotgun sequence.
CCUAAUUACUCCUGUAAGUAGCUCUGGAUAAGAGCAUCUGCUAAAUGACUAUAA